rnacentral:lncRNA from 1 species
UUUUGCACUGGUAGUAUUCUUAAGAAGGUCUGCAUUCUGCACUGGUAGUAUUCUUAAGAAGGUCUGCAUUCUGCAAUGGUAGUAUUCUGAGGAAGGUCUGCAUUCUGCACUGGUAGUAUUCUGAGGAAGGCCUGCGUUCUGCACUGGUAGUAUUCUGAGGAAGGUCUGCGUUCUGCACUGGUAGUAUUCUUAAGAAGGUCUAGAAUCUGCACUGGUAGCAUUCUGAGGAAGGUCUGCGUUCUGCACUGGUAGUAUUAUGAGUUCUGUCGGCAUUAUGCUCUGGUAGUAUUCUGAGGAAGGUCUGUAUUCUGAACUGAUAGUAUUCUGAGGAAGGCCUGCGUUCUGCACUGGUAGUAUUCUGAGGAAGGUCUGCAUUCUGCAAUGGUAGUAUUCUUAGGAAGGUUUGCAUUCUUAGAAUAAAGUUGAAAGAGAAUGGAGGAAUUUCUGAAUUGGAAUGAUUCCAAAAGUGUUCCCAUUUUCCUAAUAGGCUAAUAUACAGUAAUAAAACGUGUUUUCUUUAUGAUAUUUAUUACCCAUACACAUGUAAUUGUUUUAAGAUAGUAAUAACAAUGACCAUCAAGCUAUUAAGUAAUAAAAAUGUGUCUGUCAUCAUACAGAUUGGGGUGGAUAAAGGGGUGAUCAAGCAGCGCUCCACCUCCAUUCUUUGUCCCGUCUCCCCGACACUGCCAGCUUUCCCCUGGUACAACCUCCACAGGUUCCUCGCCAACAGCCAUUCGGAGCCAGACCAGCAUGCUGCCGGCACCCAGAAGGACCCAUCUAAGAAACAUUCAAUCUUUCCCCCUCUGGACACACAGAGCUGCACCUCCCCUGAAAGAUGGCCUCAUUCAACGUCCAAGACGUCACACCCACACGCUUCACACCGAUUUGCUGUCCCAUCCCACCCCCUGGUUUCCGGCCCUCCUGCCCGGAUGAGACAGACCCAUCCGCAUGUCCACCCCAGGUCCCCAUUGACUGGCCAGGCAAAGGUCAAGGAUGAGGUCAAGAGGCCAGAGAUUGCAUCGUCUGAGGAAUUGUCUGAGG